rnacentral:lncRNA from 1 species
AGAGUUUAAGUUUUAUUGGGGGCAAAAUUAAGACUUAAGCCCAGAGACAGCAACUCAGGUAGCCCUGAGAAACCAACCGCUCUGAGGCGGGGAGUGGGGAGCUAGCAUACAGAGGAGGGUUUGCAAUAAAGGGAAGGUAGUGGGAGCAAAAGAGGUCUGGGCUCCUGGACACCAUUCCUUUGAAACGCAGCUCAGCUCUGGGGCCAGGAUCCUGAGUGUUCACAGCCCUCAGGGCCCAGCGCUCACCCCUGGAGGUGGCUGCAUUCGGAUGACCAUGACAGCCUUUGUUUUGUCUACUUACCUGCAGCCUGGGUGUAGGUUUUUUCAGACAACUCUGAAAUAGCGCCCCAAAGAGGAAAACCGGACUGCCAGGAUACGUGUGAUAAAGGUGAACGGGGAGGCGCGUGCGGCCAUCCACACAUUUACACAAGUUUGCUGCUGAUCUCAUGAAGGUCACUACGAGUCACGGAUAUCCAUCGCCAUGAAGGAGUUUAGUGUUUUUCUAGAUAUGAGUAGAUGCAUGAAUUGGGCUCACAAAAACUUCUCCUAAAAACAUCAAUUUGAAGUCCUGAUCUCAAUUUUCCCAGAGCACAGGAGGGCCUUCACUCCUGGUCUCCACCCUCCGCUCAGAGGCUGCUGCGGGUUGGCAGCUGCAGGGCUCAUGAUUUAAUCCAUGUAGAGCCCGAUGGCAAGUGCCAAUCUCCAGUUCACAGUACGUUAAUUCGUCGUGUGAAUCUGUCACUUGGCGAACAGCUGCUUGGACGGUCUGCGCGUGCGCAGUAACCUCUCCCUACUCCCAGCCCAGCAGCGCUGGAAGGAGCACGAGAAGGCAUCUGCUUUGUCCCCUGGACUACAAAGAGGGGCCAUUGUGGAAGACUGGUGCCCAGAGAGAGGAAGGGACUUGCCUGGGGUCCCUAACCCGUCAUAGAAUUGGGACUGGCUAUACAAAGUCAAGUGCAAAGUCAGCACCCUCCCCACCUUCCCCCGGCUCCCACCCCAGCUUCCCACCAGGCAGAGCCACUGGACGCUGGUAGUGGGAAGGGUGGUGGAGACCUUCCUAGCACCUUCCUCUAACUGCCGAAGGGCCGGCCGGCCACUGAGGGGAAGCAAGUCCACCACAGAGUCUGCCAUAGUCAGACGGCUGCUGGAGUGAGGCCCAGCAGUUUCCAGAAGCAGGCUUGACUAGCCCAGCCAACACGUAGAAUCUGAGCUCCAGGGAGCUGCCCCAGGCCAGGCAGGGGGCAUCCUGACUUUGGUGUCACCCCUCAGCCAUGGGCUCCAACCGAACAGGUGGCAGAGAAGCCCCCCAGCUGCUGGGCCACUUGCCAGGACUCUGAGAUGUCAACAGAGAAAAAUAAAGCCCAGGAAACCAUUGCGGACCCAGUUGGCCCAGAGCAGAGAGGAAAUUGCCAGAAACGGCCUGGAAGAGGCUAUAAAACGAGAAUAAAAUGGGAUGAUAAUUUAUGACGUGCAGUAAAAACAUCAGGGGAAGCUGAGCAGCCAGUGAGGGUUCAUUGCCCUCUGCUCUGUGGCCCUUUAAGCAUGCUGAGCCCUCCCCCCCCACCACCCUGGCAGCCCCCACAUUUUGGAAAGCCCUGCCCCUCCCCCACAUCAUCCAACCCUUGCUACGAGGCACCUGCCCCUCUCCCCCAGCUCCUGGGGCCUCAAUAUCUUCAUACUAAAGGCUGCUUUCCUUGCAGGGCACCUGACGGGCCUUACAGCAGCUCCGGGAGGGCCCUUCCCUGAAGACGUGAAGGGACCAACUCAAGGUCACACAGCUAGUCAGUGGCAAAAGUUCAAGAUCAAAAUUCCUUUUCAAACCCACCCCACUCUCCUUGCCAGAAACAGAAAAUUGGGAGUUCAAGAUCUAAGUGCAGGCUCGUCUCCGCUUCCAACUCCCCCGCCCCACCCAGAGCCCCAGAGCCUUGUGGGGAAGUGGGGCGGCCCCAGAAGUUGGUCAGCAAACCUCGCCAAGGUCUGAUCCUCCAGGCUGCCCUGCCCCCAGCCCACGGAUCUGGGUUACCUACAUGCCACUGCCCUUGUGGAGCUCCGGGCUGUUCCUGCUCCUAGGCGCUCAGUUGGGUCCCUGCAAGGGCCAGCCACGUACCCCAGGGAGCUCGGACUGCCCUUCCCCCACUCACUGCCAGUUGCGAGUUGUUCCACGUGUUCUGAAGAGGUGGACGGGCCGCUUGUCCCAUGUAGGGACUAUUGAUACCUGUCCCGGCCACAUCCUUCCAGGUGGGCUUGGGAGGUGCCUAGAGCAGAGGGAGCAGCGGGCUGCUCACAUCCCAGUGACUCUCCAGUAGGGUGAACCUUCUGUGCAGUGUUCUUCUGUGGGGUGACUCUUUAGUGGGGUGAACCUUCUGUGCAGUGUUCUUCUGUGGGGUGACUCUUUAGUGGGGUGAAUCUUCUGUAUGCUGCUCUUCUGUGGGGUGACUUUUCUGUGGCAUGCCUUUUGUCCCGUGUAGUGAUACGUGUCCUGGCCACAUCCUAUCAGGUGGGCUUGGGAGGCGCCAAGAGCAGAGGAAGCAACGGGCUGCUCACAUCCCAGUGACUCUUCCGUGGGGUGACUUGGAGGCUCCCCACUGGACCAUCCGUUUGUAGGUGGGAGGGUGGGAGCCCAAGGCCAAAGAGGAGAACUGGCAGGGGGGUGGCAGGGAGCAUUAACGCUGCUUCCACCACCAACCCCGCCUUACCCACGGCGAAGUACCCUUGGGAAGCUCUAGGGAGGUCGCGGCUGUGAUGGGACUUGGUAAACCUCCCAGCCCGUGAGCCGUAGGGGCUGGAACUAUCCUUGGCUGAGCAAAUGGGUCAGCACCAGGCCUGUCCCAGCCACCAUCAGUCCCCAGGCGUCACUGUUGCCGUACCCCUGCCACAUCAGGAGCCUGCAUGUUGUUGUGUGGGUCCUCCCACCAAAGCAAGCCUAAAGCUGAGGGGAAGCAAAGGCGAGUCCACCUCAGGCCAACGUGGAGAAUCUGAGGGUCACUGACCCAGAAUACCCCCCAAGGCCACCCCUACACCUCCUUCCCCCACGAUCCCACAGAGGAGGGCGAGCCUGUCAGCUCCAAGCCCGCUCUCCCCACUGCUUAUCUACUCGAAGCUCAGACGGUCCUGUUCCCCCCUCAUUCUUAAGAACAGGGGUCGGCAAGGACCCCCAGCCUCCUCAGGGGCCCACGGCUCUGGCUGAGCCUGUCCCGGAGUUCCCGAAGACCGUUUGGGGACCAGGCUUGGCAGCAGCCGCCCUAACCCUGUCUCCUGUGAUAACGUCCUAAUCCAUUCCAAGAACCCCAGUUUCUUCCACCUGGCUGGUCCCCCCCCUUUUUUUUAACACAGUAAAUCCUUGAAUCAGGUAAUACUUAAGGGGACAAUUCUUUGUCAGCCCAGAGCACAGAACUUCCAAAGUUAUUCUCCAGGGGAGGGGGUGCCACCACCAGGGUCCUGGCCAGGAGUCCCCUCUUGCUCUGCAGACACCCAAGGGCCCCUCCUGCUGAACUGUUGGAGGUCCCACCCCCAACCAGCUCGUCUCCAAGAAUGACUUCUUUCCUCUCCCCCAAGCCACAACACCCCCUCCCUUACGAAACUUCUGUUCCUUGAGUGGGUUGACAUACGCAGCCUAACAGUUACAUAGGAAGCACGUUUUAAAGUGAUUUUACUCAAGGCAUUUAGGGACCAGGGCAACUUCCCAGAGCCCUGAAAAUCAGCAGUGUGGUGACCCCUCUGGAAGAGCCCUGUCGUGUUUAACAAACCCUGCAGUGCUCACAGGGCCUGUCAGCUUCCUCUUGCUUCCUUUUGGAAAACAAAAUCCGAGGAUGCGGGAGGGAGAAAAUCCCCCACACAAUCACCCACCCCCACAGGGGAAAGAACCCCCCAGACCGUUUUUCCCUGUUCUGGACAUUUUUUUCCAAACUCUCCAAGGGGAAGGACGGGUUUCUGUGGCUGAGCCCAGAAAUGAACUCCCUGGAGUUUCCUGCAGUCUGGUUAUCUGGCAUCCUUACAAGCGGCUUGUUCCUCUCCGUCCCUUGAUGUUCUGCAGACAGGAGCGGGUGCCUUUGGAAAUGGACCAUAGCCGCUCCAAGCCGCAG